rnacentral:rRNA from 1 species
AUUGAACGCUGGCGGCAGGCCUAACACAUGCCAGUCGAGCGAGCGGCGGACGGGUGAGUAAUGCCUGGGAAUUGCCCAGUCGAGGGGGAUAACAGUUGGAAACGAAUGCUACUACCGCAUACGAUUGGAUUGCCCAGGUGAGAUUAGCUAGUUGGUGAGGUAAUGGCUCACAAAGGCGACGAUCCCUAGCUGGUCUGAGAGGAUGAUCAGCAAAACUGGAACUGAGAAACGGGCCAGACUCCUACGGGAGGCAGCAGUGGGGAAUAUUGCACAAUGGGGGAAACCCUGAUGCAGCCAUGCCGCGUGUGUGAAGAAGGCCUUCGGGUUGUAAAGCACGUUCAGCGAGGAGGCGUGACUCGCAGAAGAAGCACCGGCUAACUCCGUGCCAGCAGCCGCGGUAAUUC